rnacentral:rRNA from 1 species
UACGGAGGGGGCAAGCGUUAUUCGGAAUUAUUGGGCGUAAAGGGCGCGUAGGCGGCUAGAUGUGUCAAAGGUGAAAUCCCUCGGCUCAACUGAGGAACUGCCUUUGAAACUGUCUGGCUUGAGGCCGGGAGAGGGUAGCGGAAUUCCCGGUGUAGCGGUGAAAUGCGUAGAUAUUGGGAGGAACACCAGUGGCGAAGGCGGCUACCUGGACCGGUUCUGACGCUGAGGCGCGAAAGCGUGGGGAGCAAACAGG